GCAGACUGAGCAUGUGACAGCAG
rnacentral:piRNA from 1 species